GUUAUAUGGUCAAGAAGAGAAGCGCAAACGGUGGAUGCCUUGGCAGUAAGAGGCGAAGAAGGACGUGGAAUCCUGCGAAAAGCUAUGGGGAGCUGGAAACGAGCGUUGAGCCAUAGAUGUCCGAAUGGGGGAACCCGGCUGCAGUAAUGCGGUCAUUUGCAUUUGAAUACAUAGGAUGCAAAGGCGAACUCGGGGAACUGAAACAUCUAAGUACCCGAAGGAAAAGAAAUCAAGAGAGAUUCUC
rnacentral:rRNA from 1 species